rnacentral:lncRNA from 1 species
GGGCACUUUCUGGAAGGAUAUCAAUGUCUGGACCCAAAGUGUGCGGUUUUGAACAUCACUCACUCAGCCUCGCCCGCUGCCAGCACUCCAGUUGGUUCCGCUGCCAUCCCUGAUCCUUUGAUCCAAGAGAAGUGCUGAGAGCCUCUUUCUCCCCUCAGAGGCAGUGGGUUUCAAACCUUGAGGCAGCGUUUUCAUGUCCUCACCCACAUUGCCGGUCCAGUCUUGCCUAGUGGGAACG